UACGUAGGGUGAAAGCGUUAAUCGGAAUUACUGGGCGUAAAGCGUGCGCAGGCGGCUUUGCAAGGCAGAUGUGAAAUCCCCGGGCUCAACCUGGGAACUGCAUUUGUGACUGCAUGGCUGGAGUGCGGCAGAGGGGGAUGGAAUUCCGCGUGUAGCAGUGAAAUGCGUAGAUAUGCGGAGGAACACCGAUGGCGAAGGCAAUCCCCUGGGCCUGCACUGACGCUCAUGCACGAAAGCGUGGGGAGCAAACAGG
rnacentral:rRNA from 1 species